ensembl:lncRNA
GUACGUUGGUGUGAGUGUUGAAAGCGGCUGCUGUGUGUGUGUGUGUGUGUGUGUGUGUGUGUGUGUGUGUGUGUGUGUGUGUAUGUUGUGUAUCACGCACUGUAUAUUGUGCCAUGGUCUAGGUUUAAUUUGAGUGCGCUCGGGUGGAUGGGCUUCCCACCCCGUAUUUGAGUGCACCCCGUUUUUGAGUGCACUUGGGCGGAUGGGUUUCCCUGCCCCGGACAGAUGCCUGUGAGUAGGUACUGGGUUCCUACUCCGAAUAGCCGUUUUCUUUUUGUUUUCUGUUUUUAGAUAGCAGAAGUGGGAACGCCCCAGCUCUGGGAGACGUUCCAAGAGCCGAAUAUUGUCGGGAGAACCUGGCAACUGACAGUCGAAAAGAUCUGACUGUGACUUGACUUUGGAGGUCCCGUUCGGCUGCCUAUUUAAGUAUAGGCACGGACAAGUGUGCUUAGAUGUGUUAGUGUCUGUUGUCUGUAUUCUGUUUCUGUGUUUGGUAUCCCAGAAGCAGCUAAGGUUAAGCUGCAGUUUGGACCAGGUACUGAAGGUACCAGGCAUCUGUGGAAAUUGGUUAUAGGAUGCUUUGUCUUGGUCUUGUUUGUCUGGUUUGUUUUCUGUGGUAUUGUCCAGUGUCUUUUUGGCUUUUGUUUCGUUUUUGGACUUGGACUGACAACUGUGUUUGAAAUCUUGGACUGACAACUGUGUUUGAAAUCAUGAAACUGUUUGCUUUGUUUGUCAAGGAGUUUUACUUGGUCCUCUUGGUGCUUAACUUAAAAGUUAAAAAUAAUUUGCUUGAGAGAAAUUGUUUUCUGCCGGGGAGUUUUAUCUUUCUCUCUUGAGCCUCCUCCCCAAGGAGAGCUGCCCCUCUCUUUACUCCCAUUGUCCAGCCCAGCUGCUGUUAACCGUUGUGUAUGAAGGACUCCCGGUUAGCGAGUGAUCCGUCUGAAACAGGCAUUAACAAGAACCUGAAAGCUUUACCUUAGAUCCUGAAGAAAAAUUCUCCCUGUUGCUUAAACAUUCACAGCUUCUAAGGAAGGGACAGCACAGAGUAGAAAAAUGUAGGGGCUGAGGGUGGCAAGCAUGCAGGCCUGCUAGCAAGCUACAGGCUGCGCAUGGGCAGCAGCGCAGCUCUGGCCAAGUCAGCGUAAGAGGAGUUUCAAGAUCUACGCCCGAUAUUCACACACUGGCGGCAUAGGCGCAGACAGCAGAGAGGACAAAGGACCAGAGUGGCAAGCAAUCCAGUUGUGCUGAGUUCCUUGUCAUAAAGAAAGCCUUACUUACCCAAUCUGAGCAGCAUGACGCUUAGGUUGCUCACAGAACAGAAACCAUCUUUUGCUGUUUCUGGGAUUGUUGAAUCACCAGUACUUUUAACAAGUGCAAAUGUGGAGAGGGGCAGUCCUCCUGGCUCUCCUGCAGGCUACCAUAGAAGAGCACAAACUUCGAGGUCACAUAAUGUCACAGAAGCCACCUGAGAUGGAUGUCAUCAGAAGAAACUGUAGAGUCACUAAGCCACCAGGUUGAGCUGUUAUCAACAAAGCCCAUAGUCACUGUGUUUCCUACAAAUACCUUGGUUCUCCAAGGAAGGGCAAUCUCACUUGGCUUAGUGUUUAUCGCAUUGGACAUCAUUUUCCACCAAAACAGGCUGAGCAGAACAUCCCCUGAAACCCCUUUGCACAGAAUGGUUAUUUCCUUGGAGGGGGAGACAGAGCUUGGUCCCUGAGUCUCCAAAGUCACACAGCCAAGGUAAAGUGUAGCCAGGGUUUGGCGGUUUCUUGCAUUAGCAACAGCAUGUCUCUAAUUCUUGCCCAGUGUUAAAGUUGUACUGAUUCACUCCCCUAGAGAACAGGUGUGAUUCAGAAGGAUUGGAGGGGGAAAAUGGUACCUAAACACCUAAACUCGCUCUUAAAACUACACAUUUAAUCCAGCAAAGACAAGGAGAAAUGUCUGGAGAAAAAGCAGGGCCACACUGAGCAGACACAUGGAUAAAAGUGGGAGGGGCAAGGUGCCUGGGAGAGCCAUCAUUAGUUCUGAAACAGCUGCGUUUAUUCACUUUGCUUUUUACCCAUCGGAUCAAUACCACAUAAACGUGAGAGAAUGGGAGACAAGAGGAAAAGGAGAGGGAGGUCAUGCAAAACUUGAGAUUUAAGCUGAAGUUCUAGAAACUGGAAACUUCUACAGCUGACGCAUGUAAACCUGGUGUGUCUUUGGGUAGCUAUUACAAGGCUGGAGGAUGUCAAAGACAGCUCUGGAACACCAUGGUUCUCUUCUGUUUGUUUUCUCUACCGUAAACUUAAGUACCAGACAGAAAAUUGCUUGAUAAUAAACAUGUAUUAUCACAAAAUAUAA